AUUCUCUAGUAUUUUCUGUUCAGGUUACUUUUUGUUUGUCAUAUCUACCAUCUAUUAUAAAACCCAAAGAUCUUGAGCGAUUUCCUGGAGACUUCGGAUGUUUUUUUAUCUACUCGCGCGGUUGGGGCUUUUGUGGACAUAGAUGUCCAGAGCCUUCUUCGCGUCAAAACCAGUGAGGCUUCGAGAAACCAGAUGCGGCUUCGAGAGAUCAUCGUACAGUUCGGUGCAUGUACCUGCUUUUGACGUAUCUCUUCUUCAAGUUCUCCCUGUCCCUUUUCGUCUUUUGCUUUUGUUUUGUCAAAUUAGGGUCGAUAUUCGCCGGAAAAAUGAAGGCCCUUCUCCAUCGGAUAAAAUCGGAACGCAAACUAUAGGUAAUAUUCACUUACGUCUGCACGCCUCUUCUUCUUUUCUUGCAUCUGCAUGAUGGAUGCAUCUCCCACUGGUGGUUGGCGUGGUUCAUAUCUGGGGAAGAAUAGCAGAAACCAAGAAAUUGCGCAAAGAAAAUUUACAAUCUCUGAGCAGCUAGACCGAUGAACGCGACAAAUAGGACCUUUUUUUUCAAGGAGAUAAAGGUACUGCGAAGAGUGGAAAGCCUCUUUAUUUCAAGGGGAGCACAUUCCAUAGAAUUAUUCCCAGCUGUAUGAUCCAAGGGGGUGAUUUCACUCUUGGUGAUGGAAGAGCUGAGGAAUCAAUAUAUGGUGAGAAGUUUGCUGAUGGGAAUUUCAAGCUAAAGCAUACCAGACCAAGUAGGAUUUUUACAAUUAUCUAGCUAGCUUAUUGUCAGUGGAUUACUUCAGUAAUAGUUUCCAUCCAAAUAAAGUGGCUUGAUGGCUUAUGUUCAAUUAUUUUCCCUUAAUGCUGCUCAUUUUACUUUAAGAGAAUAAAUGAAUCAAGAGUGUCAAACUACAUAAUGAAUAAACAGCAUUGGGUUAUAAGUAGUGCCUCCUGGACUUGCCAUAUCUGCAGAGGCAUGCCAAGAAUAUCAAAAAAAUGGACAUAAACUGCCAGAAGUCUUGCGGAACAGCAAAGGAUGUAAUUAAGGUCCUCGAUAUGAGGGACAAGUGUAGAAGUAGGUAUGUUUUUAAUUCACAGUGGAAGUUUCAGAUAAUGUUUUGACAGUCUAAUGCCAUUUCUAAACAGCACGCUUGGUGAUAUUCAUGGAGUGCCGCGAGUGCCUUAUCAAGGAAAGCGAGGAGAAUAAUAUGUGAUGCUUAUAGGAUUUCAAACUAAACCUCAAGAAGGUAAUAGUUUGCAGAUUAACUUAUCAAUUCGUAGCUGUUCUUGGGCGUAAGCUUGCUGAUCAACCUUGACUCAGCUAGAGGAUAUAAAAUCAGAGGAAUGACAGGCUACUUCGAGAUUGGAUUAUUGAUGAGGAGAUUGGUUUGAUGCUUAAAAGUUAAAAAGUAGGCAAAGGAAAUGGAUGUUGUUUGGGUAGCAACUGCUGGUGUGGAUUGGCUGUCAUGUCCUCAGCUCUUCAUUUUGCUGGUAAGUAGGCUUUCCCAAUCAAGUUCUGAAGAUGUAGAGAGAAUGUGUACCCAACUGCUGGUGUAGAUGGCCAACUGUGGCUGUCAUGUCCUCAGCUUUUCAUUUUGCUGGAAAUCGACUUGAAGAACAAAGGAUACAAUUGUAAACAAAGGACUAUUCUAUUCCGCUUUUUGGGUAUUUUUUCAUGAGCACUUCUCUCCUGACAUCAAGCAAAAGCCUUCGAUCUGAACACAGGAUGAAAACAAUCUUCAUGUCCUUUUUGGGUUCUUGAAUCGUUAAUUUAUCUGCCUAGACCUAUCGAUUGAGAUUAUUGCUUCGAUCUUUUCUGCUGUUAGUAUUUAACUGUAGUUGUGUUCAGUAAUUUAAUUUCACCUUCUUCUUUCUGCAUGCAGAGCACCAGUUCAAAGAGAUCUACCCUUUACUGUGUUCUUCGCCGUUUGGGUACUAGUUAUUGAGGUUUUUUAUUUCUUCAAUCAUUUAUUUAACUAUUUAAACAUAUUGAUCUGGAUUGUUGUUGUGAUCACCUCUGUUAGUAUUUUACUGUCAUCGUCUUCCAUAUUUUAAUAUCACCUUCAGUUCCAUAUGGGGUUCAUGAUAGCUGCUGUCUUUCAUCAACCUUUUAUUAUUGAGGUGAGCUUUCUAUUUCCAUGUGGAAAAAAAAGAUGCUUUCAAUGUGAGAUAUUUUGGUAAUAGAUUAUACUUUGGUGCUGUGUUCAACAACUUUUAAUUUCUUCUGUAGUGUGUUUCCUCAGAUUUGGUUCCUUUGCUUUGCCACUUGGUAUACCGAUGUUGUUUUGCUGCAAUGCUGCGUUCGAUUAUCCAUCAACGAUUAAUCGUGUCUCUAAUGUUUGUGACCUUCAAUAUAAGAUUUACUUACUGCCUAUGUCUUAUAUAUCAGUUGCCAUUGCCUAAUGCAGGUGUGUUAGAUAGAUUGAUGAUAUGUAGAGUAAUAGUUGUCAUCAGAGCUUGAUCUAUAUGCCCUUUGCUUUCUUUUGCUCUGUUUCUGUCUGUUUCUUUUCUUUUUGUCGAAGUUACUUCCGCAAUUGAAUUUAUAAGUUCCUUAUUUUUUGAGAUAAUCCAAUUUCGUGAAACUUCUGCAAUUAGCAACUGAAUUUAUAAGUUCCUUUUCUUUCUUUCAUGGUCUCUGAUUGUGAUAUGUCUUUAGCAUACUUUUGUUUUUGAUAAUCCUGCAAGUAGUUGUUAAUCAUUUUUGUUUUCCUUGAAACUACGACUCUUAAUUUGUGCAGGAAGUGAGAAGAUAGGUCUUAAAGUUGAAGUAGGAGAAACACAUCUCUAAACAUGCCUGGAUUCUUUUUGCAUUUCCUAAUUUUAACUAAUGAUGUUUCGGACAAUAUAUUUGUCAAACUGGUGAACUCAUUUGAAUGAGAGUAUUGUGUAUAUAUUUUCACCGGAAGCAGAUUAUAACACCCGCCGCAACGCACGGGUACCUUCUUAGUCAUAUUAUAAUGGACAAUCAUAGUGCUCGUUUGCUUCACUUAACAGCUCAAAUAUUUUUAGCUUGAAAACCUUCAGACCAGUAGUUUUUUCACUUUGGAUUUGAGUAUUCUCAAUUCUUGUCUUUGAAAAUGCAAUUGGAUAUGGCGGAUGAUCCAAACUUUACAUUUCUCUUGUCAAGUUCAGAUUUGCUUCAAAAGAAUUCCUCGUCCUAGAUUUGUGGCUCUUUCCGUGGUCAAGCUUUGCGGAAUGGUUGAAAGAGUAACCUCUGGUAUUUUCACUGCAUGGUUGCUCUAUGGUUUUGUUUGAGUUAUGGCAGGUGCCCGGAACAUCCUCAAUAGAGUGUUGAACUACUAAUUCUUUAUUAUAACACAUAAAUGGGCUUUAAUUUCUAGCUAUGAUUUCUGCCCCUCAUAUUGGUACUGCUCUUUUUAAUUGGUAGGUGUCAUUCCCUAAUUGAUCUUCAGUGUCUUGAAAAGCAUUUGCUACACAUACUAACUGCAUUUUUUUGUCCAAACUCGAGUGUUCUUGCUCAGAUUUUAAAUUGUUUGUAUUUGUAUCCAAAGCCAUGACUUACAAAAUUUAGUGCAGAUUUGAGUGUCAGACCUACAUGUUUCACGCUAUAAAGUACAUUAUUUAAUUAAUUCCUCAAGAUUUCUUGGUCCAUAAGGAAGAACCUCAUGUCAUGGUAUGAUCCGUCAUGUGAUUUUUUUACAACGUUAUAAACUCUCUUAUGAAUUCCGUUGGAAAGGUACAAAAUCCAGAAUUUUGAUAAUAGAGUUUUGUUAGGGUUUGGCUUUUUCAUACCUUUUUUUUUUUUUUUGCAAGAUUGACUUGGCUUUGUUUAGGCAAAGGGUGUCUCCUUGCGUAGUAAUUUCAUUUCGCUGAGGAUACAAAAGCCGGAAUUUUGAUAGUCAGGUUUAGUCGGAGUUUGGGAUCUUAUGCUUUCGUGAGUUUUGGUUUCUUUUUUAUUUUUAUUCUCUCUUUUUUGGAUUUUUUUUCAAUCUUGGUGCUCAGUUUAUAAUAUUGAAGGUGGUUAAGUUAGGACUUACGAGUUUUUUUAGAUUGGCUCAGCUUUGCUUGUUUUGAUUCAGUGUGGUUAUCUUGGUUGAGGGAGCAACCAGUCUUGAUAGAUGGAAGCAGAUAGCCUUCAAUUCUCUUUGGUAUCUUUUACUGAAUGUCUUAUUCCUUUCACUACUUUAUUUUUCGAAAGUUUGUGACUUCGCUUGAAUGAUUAGAGACUUGUCUGAUUCGAAGAAUGCACUCUGUGUAAAGAAUAUAGAUAUUGCGUAAGUAUCAAAAAGCAAAUUGACAACCAAGUGCUAUCUCGGGAAGAUUACACCAAAGCUUUGUGCUGUUACUCCCUGAUGUUGAUGACAUGGGUAGAAAUCUGGUUACAAGUUUGUAAGGUUAACUGGCUUCUUUGUUUCAGAAUCACCCACUCAUAGUAGGGGCGAUUAUGGUUUCAGAUAGACACUUUUUAGUAUCUCGUCGCCAAGUUUCUCUGUAAAUUCUCUUCCACCAUCAAUGCGAGGUCAACUAUCUUGGGCUGACUUGGCAGGGCUUUAUAAGUACCAUUAUGUAAAUAUAUCUUUUCUUUUCUCUACGUCUGUAUUUUGAUGCCUCCGGCUUAUUCUUUAAUUACCUGAUGCUUCAUUUUCUUCUUUUCCAAUUUUACUAGUUCCCUCCCCCCAUUCUUUUGUUCCGAUUGGUCAUAUGAAUCAAAAAAUUUA